GAGCAAAUAUAUGAACUCCUUCAUUCAAAUGUUUGUAGUAUUACAUAAUUGUAUAACAGAGUACCUCCUUUCUAUUGGUACUAAAAGGGAGCAACAUGUACUGUGACUAUACAAAUUAAGACAAUAUUUUCUCAAAACCAUAAUAAAACUAAAAUUGGACACUUUUGGUGUAAAUAGUAAAUUUCCUUUCAUCGCCUCCAAUCUUGAAUUGGUUGCAAAAUCAUAUGAAGAAGCACCUAUAACAUGUCUUCUGUUACUUUUCAAUGAUCUUUAUCAAUUCCAACAUUUCUUUGAUCGUAAUCCCUUUUCAUCGUUCGUAUUGCUCCAAUGCAAAACCUGCUACACCAAAUUAAUCAAUAGUUGAACAAAAACAGAACUACAAUGUCACUAACUUUGCUAACAACACACCCUCUAUACACUAGAAUGCAUAUUGCCAUUACAAAAUUAGAGUAUCACCGUUAUCUCUAAUGUAAAUGUACCAAAUUACAUCUAGCCAUUUCAUUGAAAAUUCAAUUUCCUAUUUGAACUAUUUCUUAGGAAUAUGAGAAUAAGUGAUGGUUCCUUUUAUAUACUCAACAAACCUGCUCCUAGACUACAACAACUCUUAAAUAAAAACAACAAUAUACCUAGACAUCCUCUAAAAGGUAAAGGGCUGCAAAACCAAACACAGUGGUGUCUACAUAGCUAAAUAAUGAAAAAUAAUAAAAGAACAAGAAAACCAAAUCAAUUAAUUAACAAACUAUAUCAAGAAAUCUACCCAUGUUUCAUAUAUGUAAUAGAAGAAAUUAUAUCACCUGUGAAAUGAGAAGUUGGGNNNNNNNNNNNNNNNNNNNNNUGUGUUUGAUGAUGGUGAAGAAUUAUGAUCAAGAACAAAGUAUGACAAGUGUGAUUUAUUAUAUAUUGUUUUCUUAGUUAGGAUAUUGACUUUUUUUUAUGCAAGAAUUGAACGGGAUUUAUUCCCCUUUUGGUACGUGAAGAUCAAUUCACUUAUAUACUUGCAAGUGUAGGUAGUAGUGAUAACUUGGUCUUGGUUAGGUUAUGCUUUGGAUUUAUUACUUAUUUUUGGAUAAGUAGUUGGUAAUACUUAAAUAUAAAUAUAUUGUGUUCAUGUUUAAUU
rnacentral:lncRNA from 1 species